rnacentral:rRNA from 1 species
UACGUAGGGUGCGAGCGUUAAUCGGAAUUACUGGGCGUAAAGCGUGCGCAGGCGGGUUUGUAAGCCAGAUGGGAAAUCCCCGGGCUUAACCUGGGAAUGGCAUUUGGGACUGCAAGGCUUGAGUGUGGCAGAGGAGACUGGAAUUCCUGGUGUAGCAGUGAAAUGCGUAGAUAUCAGGAGGAACACCGAUGGCGAAGGCAGGUCUCUGGGCUAACACUGACGCUCAUGCACGAAAGCGUGGGGAGCAAACAGG